GCACAAGCGGUGGAGUAUGUGGUUUAAUUCGAUGCAACGCGAAGAACCUUACCUGGUCUUGACAUCCCGGAGACCCUUAGGAAACUAGGGGGUGCUUCCAUCUGGAAGAAUCUGGAGACAGGUGCUGCAUGGCUGUCGUCAGCUCGUGUCGUGAGAUGUCGGGUUAAGUCCCGCAACGAGCGCAACCCUUGCCUUUAGUUGCCAGCAGUUCGGCUGGGCACUCUAAAGGGACUGCCGGUGUUAAACCGGAGGAAGGUGGGGAUGACGUCAAGUCCUCAUGGCCUUUAUGACCAGGGCUACACACGUACUACAAUGGCCGAUACAAAGGGCAGCGACACUGCGAGGUGAAGCCAAUCCCGUAAAAUCGGUCUCAGUCCGGAUUGGAGUCUGCAACUCGACUCCAUGAAGUUGGAAUCGCUAGUAAUCGUGGAUCAGCAUGCCACGGUGAAUACGUUCCCGGGCCUU
rnacentral:rRNA from 1 species